rnacentral:tRNA from 1 species
UCCCUGGUGGCUCAGACGGUAAAGCGUCUGCCUACAAUGCAGGAGACCCAGGUUCGAUUCCUGGGUCGGGAA